rnacentral:sRNA from 1 species
AGUUUCUUCUUCUUCUUUGUCUUCU